rnacentral:rRNA from 1 species
AAUGGUUUUGAUUAAUUUAUUUUUGUUUAUUAAUAUUUUUUAUAAAAGUAAUUUAUUUAUAUGAAGUUUUAGUAUUUAGUUAAAAAUAAUUAUUAGUUUUAUAGUUUAAUAGUAUUGUGAAAGAAAUUUUUUGUAUUAAUAAAAGAAUUUUAUUAGUACCUUUUGUAUCAGGGUUAAUUAAAAUUUUUAAUAUAUUUUAAUUUCUCAAAAUUUAUAGAGUUAAUUUUAUUAUUAAGUUAUUGUAUUAGAAAUAUUUAGAAAAUAAUUUUAGUUUUGAAAUUUAAUUCGUUAUAUUAUAUUUAGUUAUUUAAGAUUUAAAUUUAAUUUAAAAUUUUAAAAGUUAAAUUAGUUUUUUUUAUUUAUAUUUUAAAUUUAUAUUAUUUUAGGGAUAAGCUUAGAAUUUUUAUAUAACAAUUAUUUAAUUUAAUAGUUUAUAGGAAUAGAAAUUUUUAUUUAAAGUUUGUAAAAAUUUAUUAUUAAUUUAAAUAUAAUUUAUUAUAAUUUGUUUAUUAAAAAUAUUAAAUUUUAUAAUUUAAUUUUUUAUUUAUAGUAAUAAUGAUUAAAUUAGUAUAAUAUAAAUUUAUAUAUUAUGAAUUCGGCAAAAUUUAUUUUUAUCUGUUUAACAAAAACAUUGUAUUAAGAAUUAUUUAAUAUAGGAUCUGCUCAAUGAUUUAUUAAAUAGCUGCAGUAUUUUGACUGUGCAAAGGUAGCAUAAUAAUUAGUCUUUUAAUUGAGGACUUGAAUGAAAGAUUUGAUAAGAAAUAGACUUUAUUAUUUAUAUAAUUAGAACUUUAUUUUUAAGUAAAAAGGCUUAAAUAUUUUAAAGGGACGAUAAGACCCUAUAAAACUUUAUAAUUAAUAUUUUUUAUUUUUUUUGAUUUAUUUAUAUAUAUAUAUAUAUUUAAAUAAUAUUAAUUAUUUGAUUGGGGUGAUAAAAAAAAUAAACUUUUUUUAAAAUUUAACAUUAUUUAAUGAUAAUUUGAAUUAAAAUUUUUAAUUAGAGGAAAAAGUUACUUUAGGGAUAACAGCGUAAUUAAUUUUUUAAGUUCGAAUUUGAAAAUUAGUUUGCGACCUCGAUGUUGAAUUAAGAUUAUUCUUAGGUGCAAAAUUUUAAGUAUUAGGUCUGUUCGACCUUUAAAUUCUUACAUGAUUUGAGUUCAGACCGGUGUAAGCCAGGUUGGUUUCUAUCUUUUAAAUAUUGACUUAUUUUAGUACGAAAGGAUUUAGUAAGUAAAUUAAAUUUAAUUUAAUGAAUAAAACUAAUUUG